rnacentral:rRNA from 1 species
UACGAAGGGGGCUAGCGUUGCUCGGAAUCACUGGGCGUAAAGGGUGCGUAGGCGGGUCUUUAAGUCAGGGGUGAAAUCCUGGAGCUCAACUCCAGAACUGCCUUUGAUACUGGCGAUCUCGAGUCCGGGAGAGGUGAGUGGAACUGCGAGUGUAGAGGUGAAAUUCGUAGAUAUUCGCAAGAACACCGGUGGCGAAGGCGGCUCACUGGCCCGGUACUGACGCUGAGGUGCGAAAGCGUGGGGAGCAAACAGG